UUCGAUGCAACGCGAAGAACCUUACCAAGGCUUGACCAUACACCGGUAACGCCCAGAGAUGGGUGCCCCUUUGUGGUCGGUGUACAGGUGGUGCGAUGGUUGUCGUCAGCUCGUGUCGUGAGAUGUUGGGUUAAGUCCCGCAACGAGCGCAACCCUCGUCCUGUGUUGCCAGCGGGUCAUGCCGGGGACUCAUGGGAGACUGCCGGGGUCAACUCGGAGGAAGUGGGGAUGACGUCAAAUCAUCAUGCCCCUUAUGUCUUGGGCUUCACGCAUGCUACAAUGGCCGGUACAAAGGGCUGCGAUACCGCGAGGUGGAGCGAAUCCCAGAAAGCCGGUCUCAGUUCGGAUUGGGGUCUGCAACUCGACCCCAUGAAGUCGGAGUCGCUAGUAAUCGCAGAUCAGCAACGCUCGCGUCCGAAUACGUUCCGGCCUU
rnacentral:rRNA from 1 species